GAGCGCGCGGGGAGGCCGGAGCCCGUGUAUCCCUCCUGCGAAAGUUUUAAUGAACAUAGACCCAACCCGGGCCUGGGGCGCUCCCAGGCCUGCUAGCCGCGGCCCUCCGACUUCGGGGUUCCUCUGGGAGAGUUGCACGCCUCGACGGCGUCUCUCUUUGUCCCCGACUGAAGAGAAUCCGGAUUCGGGGCCUGUAAUUGAAGAGUCCGGCCCUGGCUGCGGAGAUGCCAUCACCCUAAGGAGAGAGGGAGGCAUCUUCUGAGGAAUCGCCUUCAGAACCUGAGGCACGUCUGUUCAUACCUUCAAUCCUGACAAGCUGUUUUUGAAGGCGAAUAUGAAGUUUGGAACCAUCCAGAAGUCAUUUGGAGUCCAGUGAGAAAGCCAGCGAUCAAGGGCAGUGGCUGGCAGACGUGAGGGCCGCCCACCAGAAGCAGGCACACCUGGGCUUGGGCAGAGACCGGAGACCCCAGCCCGGCACCAGCUGGCAGAGCCAAUUCCUCUCUCUCAAGGGCUGGCUCUGUGAGUCACUGCCCGUCUGCCAGCAGUGAGCAGAAGGGGGGGAGCAUCUCACAGAGCCCUGGGUGCCUGCCCCGAUUUGCCGUGAAGACGGCGUGAGGUUUGCGGUGGCCCCCGGUAGGACAAGCAGUCCCAGGCCUGCCUCACGCUCGUCCCCUCCUGCUGCCCCCGACAAAGGACGGUUCAUCCUCUGUGAUGGGUCCCUCUUGAGACUGGCUUGAACUCCUCAGGCUGAUGUAAAUGUAUUUCAGAUGACAUUGGACUUGCACUGAUUGUAUCACCCUGACUAUGGGCCUGGUAGGCUUUUAGACUGCACUAGAAUCAAUCAGACCUGGAACUCUGGCCGCUGAAGAAUAAACAAAUGCUUCUUCUAACAGAGUGGUUUUAUAUCCAUCUCCCAGAUGAAGGGACGUCAGCUCAGAGAGAACGUUAACCAGAAGCCGAGUUAUGCCGUCAGAACAACCUCAAACUCUCAGUGGCUCAAGACACCAGCCUUGCAGGUCUGAGUGGUUCUCCUGGGCAGUUGUCCUCCACGUGGUGACUCAGAGACCCAGCUGCUUGGAUACUCUUGGAUCUGUCAUCUCAAAACGAGGCUCCUAAAUGUGCCCCAGCAGGGGCGGUGGUGAGAGCCUGGGGUGUCUCAGAGGGGAC